CCGAGUUUACAACUCCCAAACCCCAAUGUGAACGUUACCACACUGUUGCCUCGGCGGGAUCGCCCCGGGCGCGUCGCAGCCCCGGACCAAGGCGCCCGCCGGAGGACCAAUAAACUCCAUUGUAUUUGUGUAUUUUACUUCUGAGCUUUCUCGGCGCUCCCAGCGAGCGUUUCGAAAAUGAAUCA
rnacentral:misc_RNA from 1 species